AUUGAACGCUGGCGGCAGGCCUAACACAUGCAAGUCGAGCGAGCGUCGGACGGGUGAGUAAUAUAUCGGGACUCCCCGAUAGAGGGGGGUAACUACUGUAAACGCUAUCUCAUACCCCAUAUUAUCUCAUAACCCAUAUGGGAUUAUCUAGUAGGUGAGGUAAUGGCUCACCUAGGCGACGAUCCCUAGCUGGUCUGAGAGGAUGAUCAGCCACACUGGGACUGAGACACGGCCCAGACUCCUACGGAGGCAGCAGUGGGGAAUAUUGCACAAUGGGCGCAAGCCUGAUGCAGCCAUGCCGCGUGUAUGAAGAAGGCCCUCGGGUUGUAAAGUACUUUCAGUCGGGAGGCGUUACCGACAGAAGAAGCACCGGCUAACUCCGUGCCAGCCGCCGCGGUAAUAC
rnacentral:rRNA from 1 species